CUGCGGCUCAUGGCUCUGUGUUCCACCUGUGGCAUGCGUGCCAUAGGUUCGCCAUCAUCGGCCUAUGCUGUAGCAAGACUUGUUUUGUUUUAGUAUAUUAUGUAGUAUGAACCUAACUACUGUGAUAAACCAUAGUUUAUAGUUUACCAUACUAUGUUGUCUCAAUUUAAUUGCAAUUUAAUUAAUAAAAUAUAAGAAAACAAAUAUUCAUUCAUUAUAUCACAGACUGGGAACCUAAAGGCAGAAAUUUAACAGUAAUAAUGAAAAGCACAUUUUUAGUUUUGGGGAAAAUGAAUUGAAAUUAUUAAUGUGCAAUAAUUAAAAAAUAGACAAAAGCAGAUGUAUUUACAUUUGAUUCCUAUAGCAUGCCUACUAAAUGCACAUUGGAUAGGCACAAAUCUAUGGAGGUACCAAUGAAGUAUGGAGUAGUUUCAGGAUGGAUUGGCAUAGAUCAGAAAUAUCAAGUGCUGUAGGCUCAGGAUUGCUGAAUAUUAUUAAAAUACAAGUUGCAUACACAAGUCUUAAGCAAAAUAUUGAUCAUGUUCUAUAAAAGACUUCUUUGAUCAGUAGUGACCCAAGUUCAUUAAGAAGCCAAGU